rnacentral:rRNA from 1 species
AGUGAACGCUGGCGGUAGGCCUAACACAUGCAAGUCGAACGGCAGCACAGUAAGAGCUUGCUCUUACGGGUGGCGAGUGGCGGACGGGUGAGGAAUACAUCGGAAUCUACUUUUUCGUGGGGGAUAACGUAGGGAAACUUACGCUAAUACCGCAUACGACCUACGGGUGAAAGCAGGGGAUCUUCGGACCUUGCGCGAUUGAAUGAGCCGAUGUCGGAUUAGCUAGUUGGCGGGGUAAAGGCCCACCAAGGCGACGAUCCGUAGCUGGUCUGAGAGGAUGAUCAGCCACACUGGAACUGAGACACGGUCCAGACUCCUACGGGAGGCAGCAGUGGGGAAUAUUGGGCAAUGGGCGCAAGACUGAUCCAGCCAUACCGCGUGGGUGAAGAAGGCCUUCGGGUUGUAAAGCCCUUUUGUUGGGAAAGAAAAGCAGCAGGUUAAUACCCCGCUGUUCUGACGGUACCCAAAGAAUAAGCACCGGCUAACUUCGUGC